CAAUAGCGUAUAUUUAAGUUGUUGCAGUUAAAAAGCUCGUAGUUGGAUUUCGGUUAAGAGCGACCGGUCCGCCGUUUGGUGUGCACUGGUUGGUUUUAACUUCCUGUAGAGGACGUGCUCUGGGUUUAACGACCUGGACUCGGAGUCUACGUGGUUACUUUGAAAAAAUUAGAGUGUUCAAAGCGGGCUUACGCUUGAAUAUUUCAGCAUGGAAUAACACUAUAGGACUCCUGUCCUAUUUCGUUGGUUUCGGGACGGGAGUAAUGAUUAAGAGGAACAGUUGGGGGCAUUCGUAUUUCAUUGUCAGAGGUGAAAUUCUUGGAUUUAUGAAAGACGAACUUCUGCGAAAGCAUUUGCCAAGGAUGUUUUCAUUAA
rnacentral:rRNA from 1 species